CUGAGACAGAGAUAAAUCUUUCCCAUUGUAAAAUAGAGAAACACAGCUAACUUCCCACUUACACAGGCCCAGGAAUUCAGAUCUGGUUACAUUUCAUUACAAAAUCUGAUCCCAAAGAUUAAAGAUGGUUGGGAUGGUGAAGCACUUUGCUGAGGACAUUGCACAGAGCAGAGCAGAGCAUACUUCUUGAACUGAAAUCACUUCAUUUGGAUGUUGGCAAUUCCUGAGCACAGCAUAACUCACAGCUGAAUCACCCGACGGAACCUGUUAAAAUUUGAUGGCAAAAGACUGUAAACAGAUAGCUAAUGAGCCAUCAGCCUUGAGCCUUACCUAGAGACACAAAUCAUAGAAAGGAUUUAUUACUGGGCAAACUGAAAUCACAGAAACAUGUGAUACUCUCUUCAGCUUCAUUCUACUUCUGAAGCAAAUUUCAAAACAACAGGAAGACAUAAAAAUUCAAAAUGAAUCACAAAGACCAAUAAAAACUCACUAUUUUAAAUAUCUGAAGACAUAUCCAUGAAUCUGGAAAAUAAAAACUGGCAAAUACGAAGGAAAACA
rnacentral:lncRNA from 1 species